AAGUCAUGAAAAGUCUGUGCUCAAUUGCUCCGACUCCUUCUUUCGCCGUGCAGGGUUGUGAAUUGAGGCUUGAAUGAAUGAAUGAAUGCACUGCUUUUUUAUAUGUUAGGUUUCAUUUGCUUCCGGAUUUUGACGAAGGAAAACGGAGCUGUAGACGGAAAUUAGAGCGUCACAACAAUAGGAGGCGUAGAAAGUCACUUAAUAGUAAUGUUUCUACGAAUGAAGGGACUAUCAUGGAUAAUUUGCAAGCUGAAGAUGCUGCUUGCAAUGGCGAGACUGAAAAAGGUUAGGUUAGGCUAGGUUGAGUGAUGUUUUGAAGAAUGGAAUUGGACUUGAGUGCUGAUGGUUAUGUGUAUUGACUGUUCGUGCAGACGGUUUAUCCUUACAGAUUGUGGGGAAGGAAGCUCUUGUUGUGAUUGAAGAUGGGCCUGGAUUCCAGUCUGAAUCCCAGAAGGUGAACAGCGA
rnacentral:lncRNA from 1 species